rnacentral:lncRNA from 10 species
UUUCCUCUUUGUGCCAUGGGAGCACUGAAGGAGAAGUCAGUAGCGUGUAAUGUGGAGAGGCCCUCACCAGAACCCAACCAUGAUGGUACCCUCAUCUCAAACUUCCAGCCUCCAGAACUGACAAGGAGUAGAUGAACCUCUUUCAGAAACUGGAUUUAAACAAGCAGCAGCUGCUGGUAUAUUUCUGAAUAAUGUGAAGUUUACUCAUGCUUUCUCCAGUGAUCUCAUGAGGACAAAGCAGACCAUGCAUGGAAUUUUGGAGAGAAGCAAAUUUUGCAAAGAUAUGACGGUAAAGUAUGACUCAAGACUUCGGGAAAGGAAAUACGGGGUUGUAGAAGGCAAAGCGCUAAGUGAGCUGAGGGCCAUGGCCAAAGCAGCCAGGGAAGAGUGCCCUGUGUUUACACCGCCCGGAGGAGAGACGCUGGACCAGGUGAAAAUGCGUGGAAUAGACUUUUUUGAAUUUCUUUGUCAACUAAUCCUGAAAGAAGCGGAUCAAAAAGAACAGUUUUCCCAAGGAUCUCCAAGCA